GCGCCGAUGGUGGACAGGACCGCUUCGAUGUUGCCCUUGUCGAGGUAGCGGCGCUGCAGCUUCUGGGCGUCCUGGGCGUCCUUGGCGAU
rnacentral:tRNA from 1 species